UAUUGAUAUAGUUACAAAUAGGCUGAUAGCACAGGAUUGACACGCGGGACGUACGAAUGGGAUAUCCACCUGCCUCAUAAGCUGCCUAGCCCAUUGCCGACAUUGGUAUCGAAUGUUUAAACACAUAUAUAAAAUAUUAAAUAUAGAUAUAGUUACAAAUAGGCUAGUAGCAUAGGAUUGCCAUGUGGGAUGUAUGAAUGGGAUGUCCACCUGCCCCGGAAGCUGGCCCAUUGCCGACACUGGCAGGAUUCCAUCGUUGCUUUUCCUUAAAGAGACGCACGUUUUCUGUUUUUCCCGAAUCGCAAUACACGGUACUAUACUUGACACUAGCUGCCUCCAUCCAAAAGAAUAGCACGAAAGCGACAAUAUAUUAUACAUAAAAUAUACUUUCGAAUAGCACCAAAGCACGUCUGAAUUGAUCAGGGACCUCCAGUGACAACGUGACAUCGACUCUGACAACAAACUUAUUAUCUCGUACACCGUUAACUUAAUCGAGCAGGCAUCCAUGUUCUGCAGCUCUGGGUGCGCAGUUCACCUACAACAACUGAAAUGCUACGUAGCGUAGACACAACCACAACAGCGAGCAGUACACAUUCUGCAACUCUGGGUUCGCAGCUUACAUAGAACAUAACAACAGAAAUGCUAGUAUAGCUGUAGACACAACACCACAACAGUCAACAGCACACGUUUUUAUUCCGACGAAGACGAAGAUCCUCUACUUCUAGGCUGAAUCAACGGUCUAGAAGCAGAGCCACAACCAUUCUUAUUCCCAAGAGGCGAGAGCAC
rnacentral:lncRNA from 1 species